CCUACGGGAGGCAGCAGUGAGGAAUAUUGGUCAAUGGGCGCAAGCCUGAACCAGCCACCCCGCGUGCAGGAAGACGGCCCUAUGGGUUGUAAACUGCUUUUCCAGGGGGAGAAUUUUUCUGUCGUGACAGGAAUUGACGGUCCCCUGGGAAUAAGCAUUGUAUAAUUCCGCGCCAGCAGCCGCGGUAAU
rnacentral:rRNA from 1 species